GAUGAACGCUGGCGGCGUGCUUAACACAUGCAAGUCGAACGGAAAGGCCCAAGCUUGCUUGGGUGCUCGAGUGGCGAACGGGUGAGUAACACGUGGGUGAUCUGCCCUUCACUUUGGGAUAAGCCUGGGAAACUGGGUCUAAUACCGGAUAGGACCAUCUUUUAGUUUCUGUGGUGGGAAGUUUUUCGGUGGGGGGUGAGCUCGCGGCCUAUCAGCUUGUUGGUGGGGUAGUGGCUUACCAAGGCGUCGACGGGUAGCCGGCCGAGGGGGGUGACGGGCCAAUUGGGGCCGAGAUUAGGCCCAGAAUUCUAAGGGAGGGAAGAGUGGGGAAGAUUGCACAAGGGGGGGGAGCCCGAUGCAGCGACGCCGGGGUGGGGAUGAAGGGCUUCGGGUUGUAAACUCCCUUCGGCAAGGACGAAGCGGUUUGUGACGGUAAUUGGAGAAGAAGCACCGGCUAACUACGUG
rnacentral:rRNA from 1 species